rnacentral:rRNA from 1 species
CAUGUAGGCGGUCUACCAAGUUCGGAGUGACAGUCACCAGCUUAACUGGUGAAGGUCUUCGAAAACUGGCGGACUUGAGAGCGAAAGAGGGACACGGAAUUCCGGGUGGAGCAGUGAAAUGCGUAGAGAUCCGGAGGAACACCAAAGGCGAAGGCAGUGUCCUGGCUCGUUUCUGACGCUGAGGUGCGAAAGCCAGGGGAGCGAACGGGAUUAGAUACCCCGGUAGUCCUGGCCGUAAACGAUGACCACUAGGCGUGGGAGGGAUCGACCCCUUCCGUGCCGUAGUCAACACAUUAAGUGGUCCGCCUGGGGAGUACGGUCGCAAGACUAAA